GGACUACAGGGGUUUCUAAUCCCGUUUGCUCCCCUGGCUUUCGCGCCUCAGCGUCAGAAACCGGCCAGGAAGGCGCCUUCGCCAUUGGUGUUCUUCCCGAUAUCUACGCAUUUCACUGCUACACCGGGAAUUCCCCUUCCCUCUCCGAUCCUCGAGCCUCGCAGUAUCAGCUGCCCUGCUUCGGUUGAGCCGACGCCUUUCACAGCUGACUGACGAAACCGCCUACACGCCCUUUACGCCCAGUAAAUCCGGACAACGCUCGCCACCUCUGUCUUACCGCGGCUGCUGGCAC
rnacentral:rRNA from 1 species